AGUGUGAUUGCGGGUUAUAUGGUUUAUUUUUGUAAAAAACUGCCAAAUUCCUCAAAAAGGAAGCUGUACCAUUUUAGAUACCUGCCAGCAAU
rnacentral:pre_miRNA from 1 species